GCGGACGUGGUGAAAUUGGUAGACACACCAGAUUUAGGUUCUGGCGCCGCAAGGUGUGAGAGUUCGAGUCUCUCCGUCCGCACCA
rnacentral:tRNA from 142 species